rnacentral:rRNA from 1 species
AUUGAACGCUGGCGGCGGGCUUAACACAUGCAAGUCGAGCGAGCGGAGGACGGGUGAGUAAUGUCUGGGCAACUGCCUGAUGGAGGGGGAUAACUACUGGAAACGGUAGAUAAUAGCGCAUACCAUCAGAUGUGCCCAUAUGGGAUGAGCUAGUAGGUGGGGUAAUGGCUCACCAUGGCGACGAUCCCGAGCUGGUCUGAGAGGAUGACCGGCCACACUGGAACUGAGACACGGCCCAGACUCCUACGGGAGUCAGCAGUGGGGAAUAUUGCACAAUGGGCGCAAGUCUGAUGCAGCAACGCCGCGUGAGUGAAGAAGGCCUUCGGGUUGUAAAGCACUGUCAGCGAGGAGGCGUUACUCGCACAAGAAGCAACGGCUAACUCCGUGCCAGCAGCCGCGGUAAUAC